rnacentral:rRNA from 1 species
GGCGCAGGCGGCGCUGUAAGUCAGACGUGAAAUCGCGAAGCUUAACUUCGGAACUGCAUCUGAAACUACAGCACUAGAGGGUAGGCGGAGAAAACGGAAUUCCAUGUGUAGCGGUGAAAUGCGUAGAUAUAUGGAAGAACACCGGUGGCGAAGGCGGUUUUCUAGCUUAUUCCUGACGCUCAGGCCCGAAAGCGAGGGGAGCAAACAGGAUUAGAUACCCUGGUAGUCC